GACGAACGCUGGCGGCGUGCUUAACACAUGCAAGUCGAACGGAAAGGCCUCUUUCGGGGGGUAUUCGAGUGGCGAACGGGUGAGUAACACGGGAGUAACCUGCCCUUGACUUUGGGAUAACUUCAGGAGAAUGGGGCUAUUACCGGAUAGGAGAUCCUGCUGCAUGGUGGGGGUUGGAGAGCUUCGGCGGUUGGGGGUGGACUCGCGGCUUAUCAGCUUGUUGGUGGGGUAGUGGCUUACGAAGGCUCUGGCGGGUAGCCGGCCUGAGGGGGUGACCGGCCACAUUGGGACUUAGAUACGGCCCAGACGCCGACGGGUGGCAGCAGGGGGGAAUAUUGCACAAGGGGUGGAAGCCUGAUGCAGCAACGCCUUGGGCGGGAUGGCCGCCUUCGGGGUGAAAACCGGUUUCGCUCAUGACCAAGCUUUGUGUGACGGUAGUGGGUAAAGAAGCACCGGCUAACUACGUG
rnacentral:rRNA from 1 species